rnacentral:rRNA from 1 species
UACGUAGGAGGCGAGCGUUGUCCGGAUUUAUUGGGCGUAAAGCGCACGUAGGCGGAUCGUUAAGUCAGGGGUGAAAUCCUGGAGCUCAACUCCAGAACUGCCUUUGAUACUGGCGAUCUUGAGUCCGGAAGAGGUGAGUGGAACUCCUAGUGUAGAGGUGGAAUUCGUAGAUAUUAGGAAGAACACCAGUGGCGAAGGCGGCUCACUGGUCCGGUACUGACGCUGAGGUGCGAAAGCGUGGGGAGCAAACAGG